UACGGGACCUUCAUCUACAGUGGAGGAGAGUCCCACGACGAUCAUAGAGGAUGUUGUUCCUACAGUUAAUGAGGAUCCCGAUGUUACACAGAUUCAUACUACGGGACCUUCAUCUACAGUGGAGGAGAAUCCCACGACGAUCAUAGAGGAUGUUAUUCCGACAGUUAAUGAGGAUCCCGAUGUUACACAGAUUUACGUUUAUUAUGCCAGUGGAUGAUAUGCCGCAAACACCCGGAAGAAAAAAACUUGUUAAAAGAAUUGUAAAGAAUGUGAACAUAAAGGAUCUUCCGGCCAAAAAGAGGAAGAGGAACAAUGAAGAUGAAGAUGGAUAUACGGGACUUAGACCGCGAGAUGUUUUACGAAUUUCAAAAAAGGGUUGUGGAACAUAAUAUUAUUAUAUUUGUGUAUGAAUCUUUUUUCGAGGAUGUAUAGUAAAUUAUUCUAAUCAUAUAUAGUUUGAUUUUGGUGUAUGUAUCUUUUUUUGUGGUGUAUAGUAUUAUUGAUACAAGAAUAAAUUAACACAAUUAAACAU